UGACAAUGAUGUACAGAAUUUCUUCACCUGAAAAUAGCAUGUAGUAAUUUUGAUUCUGAGACAA